rnacentral:rRNA from 1 species
GACGAACCGUGCGAACGUUGUUCGGAUUCACUGGGCUUAAAGGGCGCGUAGGCGGGCGAGCGAGUCCGGGGUGAAAUCUUUCGGCUUAACCGGAAAAGGGCCUUGGAUACCGCUCGUCUCGAGGGAGGUAGGGGCAGGCGGAACUUCCGGUGGAGCGGUGGAAAUGCGUUGAUAUCGGAAGGAACGCCGGUGGCGAAAGCGGCCUGCUGGACCUCUUCUGACGCUGAGGCGCGAAAGCCAGGGGAGCGGAACGGG